AUCCAGCUGACGAGUCACAAAUAGGAUGAAACGCGUGUCCUGGAU
rnacentral:hammerhead_ribozyme from 1 species